GAAAAAGGUCCGUUUUUUCAUUUUCUGAGACCGGAAGUGGUCAUCAGCAAGUGUGGAGCCAAACGACAACAAGAUUCUCAGAGGGCGGAGCCAGAGAGCAGUGACUGGUCAGACCAUAGAUAAUAUAGAAGACAGCACGCUAACGGAUCUAGUCUGUGUUUAUCUAUGGUCGGCACGUCUGGUAGCAUCUGUGGCUGCUGUUGAUCUUGUUUUUGGAGUAAAACACGGUGGAAGCUGAAUUAGUGAGGAUGACUCCUGCUCCUGUCAUCUCUAAGCUCCUCCCACAUCUUUACCUGCACAUGAGGAAAAUCACUCCUGUAGAAUGCAGGUAUGUUUGUCAUUAUUAUAAAAAGAUGUUGCCUGGUGACCUGUCAGAAACCCAUUAUACAGAGUCAGCCAAAAUAAUGUUUACACACAUCAGGAAAAGAAAAACUUGCAUAAAUAUUUCAAUACCAAAUUUAUUCAGACAUCACGAGAUUAAUAAAAGUUAUCUUUGGCCUCUACAAUUACAAGAGGUGCUCAAAGUGGUGGCCACUGUGUCAGAGAGGAGCGCUCUUAGGCGGCUCACUCUCCAACCAGGAACCGCUCGCUGUGAUGAACGACACGGAGGCUUCUCUGUACUUGCAGCAAGGGUAACCCACUCUGUGCAACGAGACACUUCUCGUGUAAGUUACAAAGAGGUGGUCCCUGUCAUUCUUUAUUUAUACAGGUGGGUUACAGGAUAAUGAUAUGCAAAUAGACCAAAAAUGGGAGUGAGUAAAAUGAAUGUGGGUGUGGAGAAAAGUAGUCUCACAAUCACAGUCAACAAAUAUUAUCUGAAAGUUGGGUUAUUCUUGUUUAUCAGCACAAUACAAAAAGAUUCAUGUUAGAAAUAUUCCAGUUAAGACCCUAGAAUAUCAUGAUUUAUGUAAAUUUACCUCAAUAAUAUGAAUGUUCAGGUUAAGAUUGUAUAGUGAAAUUUGUUAUGCAAGUUUAGCCGAUUAAAGUUUAUGACUGCACUAAAAUAUUCUUUGAAUUGACAUCAUUAUUAUAAUAUUUAGGGUCAGACCCUACAGUAUUGAGAUUAAGAAAUCAAAUAUUCUCUAAAAUGUAAAUACACUGAACUCAUUUGGAUAUAUUUUAGUGAGACGCUACAAUAUUAUUUGACACAAAUCUAUCUAAAUUAAAAUUUUAAUACUUUUCACGCCAAACAUUUACUGGACUGAUUUAAAUAUUAAAAUCACUCCUUUCUAAUCCUCUGCUGUACGUUCAAACCUGAGGCCUUAAAUAGAAACACACAAGUAUCUGAUUGAAGGAACUUCUGCAGAGUCCUGGUUCCAGAACAUGAUGAUAGAAUUAUAGACAAACUUUAACAAAAGCUGACUGAGAGUUUACAGGUUUUUAUGUUGGAUUUCUUCAGUAAUUUAAUGAGCGUUAUCAGCAAAAAUCAAGUGUUCAUUUGAUGAACUUGAUUUCCUAAAACAUCCAGAAUUGGAGCUCAUAUCUUUGGCUGCUGUAAAGUUUCUGCUCCUUCAAAGUUCACAACACAAUGAAGUAAUUCCUAAAACACUCUCAGUGCUGGAGAACGUUUGUGAUGCUGAAGCAGUGAGCGGUUUUUCUGUUUCUUCUCUGGAGAUGCACAAUGAGGGACAUCUGCAGAGACUGAGAAAGAGUCUCACCACAUCCUGACAUGAGGAAAAAGACUUUAUUGAAGACUACAAUGAGAAAAACUAUCAGACAGCAGACGGCUGCAUUCAAGGUGAGCUCUGAACAUUUGAUCUGGAACAGGAAUUCAAUAACGGCAGCAUGAGCUUCAUUUCAGUCUGUAGCUGCUGAAUUCAUGGAUGAAUCAUCUGGCACUAGAUGAAGAAGACCAUCAAACAUCCAUGUCAGCUGAUGGAGGUCCAAGAGUCUCACCCAACAAACAACCUACAGAGUGAAGACCUCAAAUCUGAUUGGACGGCCUCCUAUUCAGCCACAUUUUAGGCUGUUAGAUUGUUCCAGAUAAGACAAGUACAAGAUUCUUCAGAGCCGUUCUACCACGAGCCUGACAGGAAGAACUCCAACAGCUACUGAAUGUUCCUGUGGUCCCCUCAAGGCUACAGGAGGAGCCCUACGAGGACGAGCCGGUCCACCUGAUGGCGGCCAGUCGCUGUGGUUCAAAGCCAACACCGACUACAUGGACUUCUACUGGACCACACGGAGGCCUUCAAACCGGACCAACAAGUUCACCGACUCCCCGACUCGUGGGUCUGAGGAUGCCGCCGAGCCUCGGUCCAGCCGGCCUCCUGUCUGUGGGUGUUUGAGUGCUGAGAGGUUUGUGGAUGUAUGUGAACAUGUCUGUGUUGAAACAGCAGCUUUUAACUCAGUAACGCCAGGAAAAACCAAGAGCUCCUUUAUUUGUGACUUCCACUAAAAAACUGAUGAAAAUAAGUUUGCCAGAGUUCUGACUGAUAACAGAUUAUUAAAUAAUGAAAAUAAUCAUUUAAAUAUUCCUUUAAACAAUCCUUUUAGGUCUACAUUUCCUUUACACUGACUUCUUGGUAUAUGUACAUGUGUUUUGGGUGGAAUAUACCAUUAAGCCUAAUGUUCAAGGGUUUUUCUGGGAAUAUACCAUUAAACCAACCUUUUAGGUAAAUGUUCCAGGAUGUUGGGUAGAAUAUACCAUCAGAUCAACCUUUUAGGUCUACAUUGGAAGAUUUUAGAGUAGAAUAUUACUCCAAACCAUCCUUUAGGUCUACAUUUAAGGUGGAAUACUCCUUUACACCAAGAUUAUUUGGUCUCGGAUUUUGGAUGGAAUACUUGGUUAAACCAACCUUUUAGGUCAACAUUCAAAGAUUUAAGGUGGAAUAUUCCUUUAAACCAACCUAAAUUUCAUGAUUUGAUCAUUAUCAAGUGAGAAACCUCAAUCCAGACUCCUCAUAAUGAUGUUUGAGAUUCAUGCUGCUGUUAUUUGUUUAGUCCAGACUAAAUGACAGAAAUCCACAACUGUAAUUUUAUUUCAGGACUCGGUUAUUAAAUGUCAAAACAAUCCAUGUGACUCUAAAAACUCAACAGCUGUACAAACUCUAAGAUUAAACUCUCUACACGGAUCCAAAAUAAGUUGGACUUCUACAUGAGAGCUUUAAUUAUUCUUCAUCUACUUCCUGAAAGGUUUGGUCAAUAAAAAAGAAAAAAACUAGUAUUUUCAGCUGAACUAAAGACAGACUUUGUGAUUUUUCUGCUCACAUGUUGUGUUGUUGUAAACUUACUCUUUCAAAUAAAUAUCCUCCUAACCCCCUGGAAACCAGCGUUUGUCCUGUUUUUGUGUUGCUCCUCGGCGAACCUAGACAGCCGGGUCCUAAUGUUUUUUGAGCAACACACCAUACUAUGAUGUUUUUACAAUGAUGGUUCUACUAUGGAACCAGUUUGACAUGUUCAGGUGUUCUUUGUGUGAAAACUCAGAGAUUUCAGGGAUCAGAAGGUGGUUUUCAACUUUCUUUGUUAAGUUUCUGCCUCAACUUUAAACUAAAUUUACUUGACUAACCCAACCCUCUGGACUUCCAGUAAGCUGUGUUCCUAUUGGCUGUCCAGGUGGCUGCUUGGUGUUAUCAGGAACACCUGAGCAGCUCAGUGUCUUCCUGCUUUAUUUAGCUGCAGACAAACAUUUCCUCUGCUUCUGUUCACCACUGAACUGGGUUUGGCUCCAUUGCUUUAGUUUGCUCUUUAGGCAUUGGCUUGCAGCUUCCAGCAGUAAAAUCAUCUUUAAUGUGUUUCUUGGUGUGUUUUAGGGCUUUGUACUGGAUAGUUGUCUUGGUAAAUGUGGUUCUUUAGCCACAGUUAGCACAUGGUGCAAUGUGUGCAGUGAUUAGUGGAUUUGGUGCAGCUGAGUUGUUCCUUUAUCUUGGCUGUAGUGAGUCUUUAGAGGUUUUUGGUCAGACACAUUCUGUAUUCUUGUUUGAGAACCAACGCUGGUUGUCCAGAAGGUAAGAGUUCCUGUCCUGAUUCUCUGUUCUCAGAGGUUCUCUGGUAGGCUGCAGGAGACUUUAGCAUUUGGGUUGUGCUAGUUUGGAUUUUGUACGGUUUCAUUUGGACGACUAUCUUGAGGCCCCUCCAUGUGGUUUAGUGAGGUUUUCUGGAACAGUUCUACAAAGCAACCUGCAGCAGAAGAGACUUUGAGAGUUUUUAGGAAGUUCUGGAGACCAGACUUUAGAGCAGCAGAAACAUUUGUCAGCAGUUUGAGAAGGUGAGCUUCAGAGUAGAAAUGAGAAGGAAACCUUCUUGACCCGUGUGGUGAGGUCCUGUACCAAGAGUUUGAGCAGGUUGUGAAGAGUCUGUAGUUCUUUGGUCUGAAAGCACAAGAAGAGUCGACUCAUUAAAGAAGAAAACAGGAGAUAUUGUUGGUUCUUCUGUCACUCUGCAGUUUCCUUAGACUGAAUAUCAAGUUUAUAUUUUAAAUGAUUUCCCAUGUGAGCCCAAGAAGACUUCAAUAAACUCCCUCCAUCCCCUGGACACAACAUAUUUUAUUACCAUGUUAAAUGGUUUUUUUUAAAUGUUUUUGAGUUUUAAUCAUAGUUUUAGCAUAGUUUUUUUCUCUUUGCUUGUUUAGUUUUGUCAUCUGUGUAAAAGGUGCUAAACAAAUAAAGUUGAAUUGAUAAAGUGAAUAAUUGACUAACUCAUGAUUG